rnacentral:lncRNA from 1 species
CUCGACCUCCUGGGCUCAAGUGAUCCUCCUGACUCACUCAGCUUCCUAAGUAGCUGGGACUACUGCCAUCAUAAUGUGAAGAAGCCGAAGCAGCCUGUGAAGAGGCGCUAGUGGAAAGGAACUCAGGUGCCCCUGCCCUCAGUCCCAGCUGAACUCUCAGCUGACAGCCAUCACCAACUUGCCAGCCACAGGAGUGAGCCAACUUGAGAGUGGAUCUUUCAGUCCCAGUGGAGCCAUCUCAGCUGACACACCAUGGUAAAAAGAUGAACCAUCCUUGCUGAUCCUUGCCAGUGCUGCAGAUACAUAAGCAAAAUAAAUGUUUUUGUU